AAACACCUGAAACUGGCAAUCAGCAGCUUCCCGAUAAGACCUCAGGAACUGGGUGAGCGGGCUCACGCAUGCACACUGAGAGGCAAAAUGGUGGAGUUCAACAGGUAUGUCACCUCCUAGGGACGUUUGACCGGAAAGGGAAGAACGCCUAAAGCGAGCAUGCGGACAACUCCAGUAACACAUUGCACAUGGUCACCUCCCAUGUGCCAGCAGGCCACUAUGCAUGCAGACAGCCACCCCAACGCAAGAAUCAAGGCAGAAGGAAUGUCAAGACCCCAGAAGUGGCUACUAAGUGACUAAUGUAGCAGAUACAAUGUGGAUACAGCUGAACAAAAGGAUGAUUCCCACCCCAGGAGGGAUGGAGCAGGAUGGUGCCAGGUUUCAUCACACUACUCAGAAAGGUGAGAAGACACGUUGAUUUAAGGCACUAUCAUAAAUGCUGUGGUAUACCCUUCAGAUCCUUAUUCAG
rnacentral:lncRNA from 1 species